rnacentral:rRNA from 1 species
GUCCACGCCCUAAACGAUGUCAACUGGUUGUUGGGAAUUUAUUUUCUCAGUAACGAAGCUAACGCGUGAAGUUGACCGCCUGGGGAGUACGGCCGCAAGGUUAAAACUCAAAGGAAUUGACGGGGACCCGCACAAGCGGUGGAUGAUGUUCUUUAAUUCGAUGCAACGCGAAAACCUUACCCACCUUUGACAUGUAUGGAAUCCUUUAGAGAUGAAGGAGUGCUCGAAAGAGAGCCAUAACACAGGUGCUGCAUGGCUGUCGU